UACAAGAGUUUCGUCUAAAAACGCCGC
rnacentral:piRNA from 2 species